rnacentral:rRNA from 1 species
UACAGAGGUCUCAAGCGUUGUUCGGAUUCAUUGGGCGUAAAGGGUGCGUAGGCGGCGCGGUAGGUCGGGUGUGAAAUCUCGGAGCUUAACUCCGAAACUGCAUUCGAUACUGCCGUGCUUGAGGACUGGAGAGGAGACUGGAAUUCCUGGUGUAGCGGUGAAAUGCGCAGAUAUCAGGAGGAACACCGGUGGCGAAGGCGGGUCUCUGGGCAGUAACUGACGCUGAGGAACGAAAGCGUGGGUAGCAAACAGG